UACGGAGGGGGCUAGCGUUGUUCGGAAUUACUGGGCGUAAAGCGCACGUAGGCGGCUUUGUAAGUUAGAGGUGAAAGCCCAGGGCUCAACCCUGGAAUUGCCUUUAAGACUGCAUCGCUUGAACAUCGGAGAGGUAAGUGGAAUUCCGAGUGUAGAGGUGAAAUUCGUAGAUAUGUGGAGGAACACCGAUGGCGAAGGCAGCCCCCUGGGUUAACACUGACGCUCAUGCACGAAAGCGUGGGGAGCAAACAGG
rnacentral:rRNA from 1 species